GCUGUUUAGUGCAGCCAGAGACCAAAUCACUAUCGUCAAAGUUUGUUUCCUUUCUUUUUUCUAUUUGCUCUCAGUGGAUAAUUUUUCCAUCCUGAUGAUCAGAAGAGUGUUUGAGGGUUUCAGAGAUCCUUCAGAACAACAAGAACAAAACCAUGACAGCUGAACCUGGACAGGACAUCACUUUGACAUGUCGAGCUCCAAACAACAACAACAUUGUUGUUCUAGAGUGGAGCAGAGCUGACCUGGGAGAGAAAUAUGUGCUUCUGUUCCGGGAUGAGCUGUUUGAUUUAGAACAACAGCAUCCAUCUUUUAAGAACCGGGUGGAGCUGCAGGACAGACAGAUGAAGGAUGGAGACGUGUCUUUGAUUCUGAAGGAUGUGACGACUAAUGACACUGGAACAUACGAGUGUCGUGUUGUCCAGAGAGGAACUAAACGCAGGAAGAGAGCUGUUUUGAAAAAUGACCCCAUCAGCAUCGUCACCUUGAAAGUUGAUCCUCUAGGUCAGACAGGAGGAGACACAGAGGAUGGAGGGAAGAAUGGAUCUGCUGGACUGAUUGUCGGUCUGAGUGUUCCUGCUGUGCUUCUUGUUGCUGUUGUUGGUUUUUUGAUCUACAGAAAACAUAAACAACCACAGAGGCAGGAUUCAUACCAGCCUCCUGUUGAACUGCAGCCUGUUUGAAAUGUCAGCUUAACUGUGAUUCUUGUGCUUUGUUUUCAGUCGUGUCACUGAAAAUGUGGAAAGACAGAAGUCAGUAAUAUUAAACAUUUAGCAGGUAUCUGUCAGACAGGUCCAGAUUUUGCAUUUAAUUUACAUUUUUCAUCAGAAAAGAGGAGAAAGUUGUUUGGAAUAUAAACAGUAUUUGUCUGAUAUGACUCAGGAUCCUUUGAUCACAUGUUGCUGGUGUUUGACUCGUUUUAAAUGUAAUUAUAUUCAAAUGAAACCAAAGAAAAAAACAUUUCUAUGUAGCUGCAGAGUCCAACAUUUCCUCCCUUUGACCUGAAACGAUUCAGCUUUAUUGAACUUUACCUUCCAUGAAGGAGACUCUUCAGUCUGUUACUGUCCAGUUGUUACUUUCCUUUAAAUAUUUUCCUGACAAAGAUCCACAUGUGUUAGUACUUAAUGUGUAUGUUUUUUUUAUACCAACAUUUCCUGUGGCUGUACUUUUUUUGUUCUGUUUUCAAUCAGAAGCUCUGACUUCCUGAAACUGUUGAUGCAGAUUUUGUCACCUUGAAUUGAUCCAAAAUAAAUACAACCAUGUGUGAACUGUUUCUGCUUCUCAUAAUUACAGACCUGCCUCUCAGAGGUAGAUUCUGAUAAUAUAUCAGAAUCGUUGGACAAUUGGUCAAAUACAUUAUUCUGUAUUCUUCCUCCCUAUUACAUUGAUAAAACUGCCUUUUUUUGAUCAACUACCUGUACAGUGCAGGCUAACCUGGAGGUUAGCAGCUCACAAUAUGACCUCAAAUUUCAACUAGUUCUAAAAAGGAGUCCGGCUACCUUCACCAGAACACAACAUAGACACGGUAGUCCUGAUGCUCAAUCAAGGGUGAUUCUGUUCAUCUGGACAUUUUCAGUAGGAGAAACGUUUCGUCACUCAUCCAAGUGACUUCUUCAGUCUCAGCUGAGUCAGAAAUCAGGAAGAGGGUUUAUUGCCAAAUCUUACAUAUUGUAGGAUUAAAGAAAUUAUUUUACGGUUACUGUUCAUAACCAUCAUCUUUAUCAUUGCAUUAAUUAUCAUUUCAUCAAAGCAUUUAUUGAAGCUGUUGGCAUUAUGUUAUAAUUUGUAUUACAGGGGUUAUCAUAAUCACAUAUUAACAUGUUUAUUACAGGUGCAGUUAGAACCACUUAAAUCGUUGAGUUAAAUCUAUAAUCUUAAAAGCUUAUAUGCUGAGUAUAUUGUUACAGUAAAAAUAGUAGCUGAGCAAAGGCCUGAGUGUAUUCAGCAACAUGUUGCACUAGAGUUUACUUGACAACAGGUGACAGAAGGAGGACAAGUCCAUGGGGACCUCAAAGGCCUGAGAUCAUCACCAUAUUCGGAAGAGGAUGCCAGAAAGGGGAACUUCUGUGUCUGCAUUUAUCUCUUAGAAUUGAUCAUUGUCUGUAAAAGAGGCAAAUAAU
ensembl:lncRNA